rnacentral:rRNA from 1 species
GGAGGAUGUCUUGGCAUCUCGUGCCGAAGAAGGACGCGGUAUACUGCGAAAAGCGACGACAAGGCGUAUACAGCCGCAACAGUCGUCGGUGUCCGAAUGGGGAAACCCGAUACAGUAACCCUGUAUCAUGCGCAAGCAUGGGAACCGCGUGAACUGAAACAUCUAAGUAGCGCGAGGAAAAGAGACGAUUCCGUUAGUAGUGGCGAGCGAACGCGGAACAGCCCAAACCAGGGUGUUUACACUCUGGGGUUGUAGGACGGCAUUUAGGACUGUUGAGUUCACUUUGAAGGGUCUGGGAAGGCCCGCGAGAGAGGUGAGAGCCCUGUAGGGGUGGAUGAGACAGCUGAGCCGGAUCCUGAGUACCACGGGACACGCUAACCCUGUGGGAAGCUGGGGCGACCACGCUCCAAGGCUAAAUACACGAGAUGACCGAUAGCGCAACAGUACAGUGAUGGAAAGAUGAAAAGAACCCCGGCGAGGGGAGUGAAACAGAUUCUGAAACCGUGUCCUUACAAGCGGUCAAAGGGGGUAACCCUGAUGGCGUGCCUUUUGGAGAAUGAACCAGCGAGUUAAUCGAUGUGGCAAGCUUAAGGGGGAGACACCCGGAGGCGAAGCGAAAGCGAGUCUGAAGAGGGCGACGAGUGGCAUCGAUUAGACACGAAACCAGGUGAGCUAACCAUGGCCAGGGUGAAAAUGUCGUAACAGACAUGGGAGGCCCGAACGCACAAAUAUUGCAAAAUUUGGCGAUGAGCUGUGGUUAGGGGUGAUAUGCCAAACGAACUUGGAGAUAGCUUGUUCUCCCCGAAAUAGCUUUAGGGCUAGCGUCGUCUGAUGAGCAUCGGAGGUAAAGCACUGGAUGGGCUAAGGGGCGUCAAGCUUACUGAACCCAACCAAACUCUGAAUACCGAUGUAUUUAGGACGGCAGUCGGACAGUGGGAGAUGACUUUCAUUGUCAAGAGGGAAACAACCCGGACUCACCGCUAAGGUCCCGAAGUGAAUGCUCAGUGGAAAACGAUGUGCGUGUGUUGAGACAGCCAGGAGGUUGGCUUAGAAGCAGCCACCCUUUAAAGAGUGCGUAACAGCUCACUGGUCAAACGCAUGUGCGCGGACAAUUGAACGGGGCUAAGCAUUCCACCGAAGCGAGAGACUCGAGAGAGUGGUAGGGGAGCGUUCCAACAGCGGUGAAGGCGUACCUGUGAAGGGCGUUGGAGCGGUUGGAAGUGAGAAUGCUGGUAUGAGUAGCGAAACUAGAGUGUGAACCUCUAGCACCGAAUAUCUAAGGUUUCCGACGGAAGGUCAGUCCGCGUCGGGUUAGUCGGGCCUAAGCUGAGGCCGAGAGGCGUAAGCGAUGGACAACGGGUUAAUAGUCCCGUACUUGCAUGUGGAAGCGCAUGAACCCUUGGUGUAGCCAGAGCCUCUGAGUGGAUUGAGGUGGCAAAUGGAGGAAACCCAUGACGCCGGGCGCAAGCCAGAAGUCUGGAGUUCACCGAGGCAAGAAAAGCCAUGUUGCUGUUGAAGCAUGCAAACCGUACCGUAAACCGACACAGGUAGAUGGGUUGAGAAUACCACGGUGAGCGAGAGAACCUUCGUCAAGGAACUAGGCAAAAUGGCCCCGUAACUUCGGGAGAAGGGGCACCUGGGAAACCAGGUCGCAGUGAAGAGGCUCUGCCGACUGUUUACCAAAAGCACAGGUCUCUGCCAAGCCGCAAGGCGACGUAUAGGGGCUGACGCCUGCCCAGUGCCGGAAGGUUAAGGGGAUCCGUGCAAGCGGAGAACUGAAGCCCCGGUGAACGGCGGCCGUAACUAUAACGGUCCUAAGGUAGCGAAAUUCCUUGUCG